UACGUAGGGUGCAAGCGUUGUCCGGAAUCACUGGGCGUAAAGGGCGCGUAGGUGGCGCGGCAAGUCAGCGGUGAAAGCCCGAGGCUCAACUUCGGGUCGGCCGAUGAUACUGCCGUGCUUGAGCACUGUAGGAGGCAGGUGGAAUUCCGGGUGUAGUGGUGGAAUGCGUAGAGAUCCGGAAGAACACCGGUGGCGAAGGCG
rnacentral:rRNA from 1 species